UUACGGCAAUAUCACAUUGAUACACCAGUUCUCGUGCGAUCACCAGAGUUAAGCAACGUCGAGCUUGGUCAGUACCUAGAUGGGUAACCACUUGGGAAAACCAGGUGCUAUA